ACGUGUGAAGUCCUGAUAAUGGCCGUCGGGUGUCAUCAGUCAUGGCGGCCGGUGGCGGGAACUCUUUCUGCUCACGUAGAGAGGCAGACGAAGGUUAAGCCGGCGUAUUAAUUGUCCUAAUGUGCUGUGGGGACUGACCUGCUAUGAUAUGGAGCCGGGUAACGCGAGAAUGAACAGAUGAAAGUCAACAUGGAAUCAAAACUGACUCUCAGUUCAUGGUUCAACAGGCGUAAUCUCGACACGUCUGGAGAGACGGGAAAAUACAGCAAGGAUAUUUGGAGCAUCACAUUCCUGAUUCUCUGUGUUCAAGCAUUAAUCCAGAGUUUCAUCAGUUCCUCUAUGAAUCAGGAAUGCUGAACAACAAUACAGCAGAGCACUUCUCUAGUUUGUCAUCAAAUGCAAAUCUUUAGAGUUAUUAUAAGAGUUGUCCAGUGAACAAACAAAUUCACAU